GACAGAGGGUGCAAGCGUUGUUCGGAAUUACUGGGCGUAAAGCGCGUGUAGGCGGUCUUGUAAGUUCUGUGUGAAAGCCCUGGGCUCAACCCAGGAAGUGCGCAGAAUACUGCAAGACUGGAGUGACGGAGAGGAUGGCGGAAUUCCUGGUGUAGAGGUGAAAUUCGUAGAUAUCGGGAGGAACACCAACGGCGAAGGCAGCUCGCUGGGACGGUACUGACACUGAGGCGCGAAAGCGUGGGGAGCGAACAGG
rnacentral:rRNA from 1 species